rnacentral:ncRNA from 1 species
UCGAGCCGUAUGAAGGGAAACUCCCACGUACAGUUUGUUUUGGGGGGGGGGAAGGAGCCCGACAGGGUCCCCCCACUGACUUGGCCUAGGCCUAAGUGAAAGUGCAAAAGUGAAGUGGUGGGCCUACCCAUCCCAAC